rnacentral:lncRNA from 1 species
GAGGAAAGGAAAGAACACAAACCCUAGGUGGGAAAAUUGAAGAAAAAGUGUGGGAUUUCAAUGGAUUAAGCUAAUAAAGGUAAAAUUUUGUGAUUUUAUCUUGUGAUUUACACUACCCAUGCUUUCUUUUUCAUUUUCCAUGCUUAGAACUCAAGCGUGAGACCCUAACCUCUAUAGGCUUGUAAUUAAGCCUAGAUGUAAUAAUACAAGCCAAGGGUAAUUUUGUCAUUUUCUCUAAUAAGCUCCCAAAAGAAAGUUUUAUGAUAUUUUGAGGUCUAAAUGGGUAUAAGACUGCAUAAAUGAUGUGUGCUGAUGAAAACACGAAGAAAACUAGAAGUUUCAACAAUUUUCAUAACAGGGGCAAAAUGAUCAUUUUUCACCUCGGGUUAAAAUUUUAAGUUUUUAUGAACCCGAGUAUGUUUAGACCAUUAUGGACCUUGUUCCAGUGUUAAAAGAGCAAAAAGAUUGCAUAAAAGAUUGGAGGAGAAUAAGUAAAUUGGUGGAGGGGUAUUUUCGUAAUUUUAAGGGAAAAGAUAAGAUUGGCUAUAAAUAUCUUGAAAUUUCCAGUACCUUCUUGAAUUUCCAGCAGCUGGUCUUUUUCUUCCCUUCUCCUCUCUCACGUUUCUUCAAUUUCUCCAUGGGAGUUUUCUUCAAGCUUCCAUAACUUUCUCUCUCUAGCUUCAAUUUUCAUGCUUUUGGUGCACCCUUCCAUAAACCCUUGUGCUCUUUCAUCCUCUCACUUUAAAACCCUUGAUAAAUCUCAUUUCUGUACUUUGUCUCACUAGCUGGACGUUUUAGAGAGAGAAAGAGAAAAUUACACCAUUUAUUUGGAAACUAUUAAAAGAGAAUUUGACUACAAAGGAGCCCUAGGGUAAGUGAUGAACUAAGCUCGAUUUUUAGCUGCAGAAAAUGGGUAGUAAUUGGGAUUUAUGAGCUAUUUUAUUGUUGAGUAUGUUCAUUACUUUUAGUGAUUUAGAUAGUGAACGUAGAUGGCCAUUUAAUGUGGCAAGUGAAAGCUAGCUAAGAGAUAGCUUUUUGGGUUCAUAGUGUGUGAAUUGACCUAUUGCUUAUGCUAAUGUGAUCCUAGGUUCUAAGGAAGCCUCAUCAUCCCAUUUGGACAAUUAGGGGAAUUGGAGUCAUCUAAAGGCUCUACAAUCAAUUGGUGAGUGGACUUGCAUUUCAAACUUGUUUUGGGAGUAUGAAUGAUUUUAUCCAACUUGUUUUUUUUUUUAAAUUUAUCUUGGGAACAAGCCUUUGGUGAAGUGAUUUUAUAUUGUGAAAUUGUGAUAUACAAUGGAUUAUGUGUUAUCAAAAUAUGAUAAUAUGCAUGAUAUGCAUUGGGUGCUUAUUCGUAUGUUGAUGUGGACCCGGUUAUGUGCGAGUAGGAGUGCACAUAAGCCGCUGCUGACCUGGCUAUGUGCGAGUGGGAGUGCGCAUAAGCCUUUGCAUAUGAGAUGAUGAUGAUGGGAGAGUGUAUAUGAUGAUUGAUAUCUAUAUAUAUAUACAUAUAUGGUAUAUGGUUGUAAAUGCAAAAAUGUGAACAUUUGCUUUGUUGAAAUUUGGGAGUUUGCAUGUGCUGUAUGUUUAUUUUGUUGGUUUAGCAGGAUGGUCUUUUUGUUGAGUGAGGGGAAACUUUUCUCUUGUUGCUCUAUUUUCGUUGCAGCGAAAUUCAUUCUCGCUGCAGCGAGAAACUCUCGGGUUUGAGAACUUUCACCAGAACUGGUUCUCACUACAGCGAAAAAGAAAUCUCGCUGCAGCGAAAAACUCUCUGUUUCAUCAGUGAAAUUUUGCUGCAGCGAGAAACCUUCUGUUUCUGGGUUACAAUUUUGCUGCAGCGAGAUUCAAUCUCGCUGCAGCGAAAAACCUUAUGUUUUGGUCUCCUAUCUUGUCCAAUUGCUGCCCUAUCUUUCACUUUUUUACUACCAUAUCAGAGCAUGGACUUCCUACGUUAAGGAUUAAAUGAGUUAAGUUUAAAAUGAAGAGGUUUAGUGGGAAACCCUCGGCCAGUUGAGAAACCCUCGUUCAGCUAAUAACUAAAUCCCAACGUCGUUGCAACGAAAAUUCGUUGUCGUAUUUGACUUGCUUGUGUAAUAUUGAAGCUUUCAUUCUUCAAAUGGUUCGUUAUGUAUGGGUUCAUGAUUUUCAAAGGAUUAAUCAUUUAAGGGCUUGAUGAGGGGUUUUUAAUAAGAAUAGAAACAAAUUGCAUUGUUUUGAAAAAGAAUGCAUCAUGAUUUCGUUAAAGAUUCCUUAUGGUAUGCUUGUUCCUUUUCUUGUUCACUCACUAGGUUUAUACUCACCGUUUUCAACUUCAUGUUUUCAGAUCACGAAGUAGCAGCUAACUAGGAUGAGGUGUCCUUGCAGACUUAUAUCCAUCUUUUGUUAGGUGUCUCGGCAUUCAGUAGCAGUACAUUCGUCCGAGUCCCUCCGCUGAAAAUCGAGUCUUCUUUUUGAGAUGUAUAGACAAACUUGAUGUAAAUUAUUAAGAUACAUGUUGUAGGCAAUGUACAUUUAAUU